UUCCUACUCCGUGUGACGGGACCUGAAUA
rnacentral:piRNA from 1 species